AUUCCAGCUCCAAUAGUGUAUAUUAAAGUUGUUGCAGUUAAAAAGCUCGUAGUUGGAUUUCUGGCGGGAGCGAUCGGUCCUUCACUCAGUGUUGGAACCUGAUUGUCUCCUGCCAUCCAUGGAGAAAACUUAUCUGGCAUUAAGUUGUCGGGUAGGCAAUCUCCAUCCUUUACUUUGAAAAAAUCAGAGUGUUUCAAGCAGGCAGUCGCUCUUGCAUGGAUUUGCAUGGGAUAAUGAAAUAGGACUCUGGUGCUAUUUUGUUGGUUUCGAACACCGGAGUAAUGAUUAACAGGGACAGUCAGGGGCACUCGUAUUCCGCCGAGAGAGGUGAAUUUCUCAGACCAGCGGAAGACGAACCACUGCGAAAGCGUUUGCCAGGGAUGUUUUCAUCG
rnacentral:rRNA from 1 species